rnacentral:lncRNA from 1 species
GGCCACACUCAUGGGAUAUGGAACUUUCCAGGCUAAGGGUCGGAUCAAGCUGUAGCUGCCGGCCUACACCACAGCCAUGGCAACGCAGGAUCUGAGCCACCUCUGCGACCUACACCAUAGUUCACAGCAAUACCGGAUCCUUAACUCACUGAUCGAGGCCAGGGAUCAAACCUGUAUCCUCAUGGACCCUAGCUGGGUUCAUUAACCACUGAGCCACGAAGGGAACUCCCUCUCUCUGCAUUCUUGAUGGCUUUUGGUUAUUGUCAAUUUUCUUCUUCUUGUCUUUUUGCCAUUUCUUGGGCCGCUCCCGUGGCAUAUGGAGGUUCCCAGGCUAGGGGUCUAAUCAGAGCUGUAGCUGCCAGCCUAUGCCAGAGCCAGAGCAACGCAGGAUCCGAGCUGCGUCUGCAACCUACACCUCAGCUCACGGCAACGCCGGAUGGUUAACCAACUAAGCAAGGGCAGGGAUCGAACCCGAAACCUCAUGGUUCUCUAGUCGGAUUCGUUAACCACUGCGCCACGACGGGAACUCCACAGCAUGAAAGAAUUUUUAAGAUUUCAUCAGAGUUCCCAUUGUGGCAGAGUUCCCCUGGUGGCACAGCGGAAACAAAUCUGAUUCCUGGACCUGGUCAGUGGAUUAAGAAUCCAGCAUUGCCGUGAUCUGUGGUGGACAGAUGCGGCUCGGAUCCCGUGUUGCUGUGGUGUAGGCUGGCAGCUGUAGCUCUGAUUAGACCUCUAGCCUGGGAAUUUCCAUAAGCCGAGGGUGCGGCCCUAAAAAGCAAAAAAAAAAAAAAGAUUUAAUCAAUAUAAGCAAACCCCUUCCUAUUACACUCGAGGAUACUGAGACCCAGAUUAGGCAAGUGAUUUGUCCAAGAUUACUGCUGGCUACUAUCAGGAUAAAAAUUAAAGUCACGGUUUCCUGAAUCUGAGGCUAGAAUAUUUCCCCUGAGUCAUAUUAUAUUUCAUCAUUUCUUCUACUGUGUAGUCUCCAUCGUUUCUUCCCAAUAGCUCUUUGAUGUCAUUUUAAAUUUUAUUUUUCUGCAGAACUCUAAUUUUACAACUUGAAACAUCUUAGAUGCAUUCAAUUUAUUUCUAUUGUAUUAUUAUUAUUUGGCCUCACAGCCCUGAAAUGUCGUCAAGGUUCCUUUCCUUUUCCUUUGAACCACAUAGAUAAGGUUCUUGGAUCAUAGCGUCAUGCUUCAAGUUUCUGAAUUGAGCCUGCUGUGUCCUGUUCUACUGAGUUCUUUACAAAAAUGGAGAAAAUUAAAGAGUAAGCAAUUUCUUUUUUUGCUCCCUACAAACUAACAUUUUUUUUUGAUGCAACAAAGCUCCGGCAUCUCAAUUAUUUCACCCUCCCAAGAAGGCCCACUGAAUCCCCUCUAGUCUCCUACCUUUUCCCUACAGGGAAGAAGGGAGGGUUAAAAUUCAUUCUGCAUAGAAAGAGAAGAUGAAAAGCUAGACAUACGCGCCUUCCUCCCUCCUUCUCCUCCCAACCCGCAGAGCCUCUGAUCUGUUAGGUUUUAUAACAAGGACGCACUGCAGGCACACUGUGAAGGACACAGCAGUCAGGCUUCUCCACCGGAGAAGACCCUUCACUUUGUCUCUCUACACAUGUAUCAUCUCCCCACCACGAGCACCAAUUCACGUCCCCACAGCAUCAGGGUGUAAGAAGCCAGGAACUGGCUGGAAUCACAGUAGUUAAAUUCCUGCAGACAAACAACUGUCAUCUGAUUCCCUUAAAAGACUUCAUAACAAGGUCACUCGAUUGAAUUAUAAUAACUCAAGGUUAAAAGAAACCAAAAUAAAGGAUAAAAACUAGAUAUAACAAACUAGACAAAGCCAAGAGGAGGAAGAGAAAGUAGGAGGGGGAAGCAUUCAUCAUAUAACAAUAAAAGUAAUAAAAACCUCACGGAGGGGAUCACACGGAUACCACAGCACCUUUGGGGAUAAUGAAAAUGUCCUAAAAGUAGACUGUAAAGAAAGUUUCACAACCAUGUAAAUCUGCUACAAGCCACAGACACAUACACUCACAGUGGGUGGAGUUUAUGGCAUGUAAAUUACACUUCAACAAAGAUAUUUAAAAGAAAAAAAAAAGUACAAAGUCUAAAUGUUUGCCAGAGGUCAAAGAUGCAGGGCUGUCCUGAAGGCAAACACAAGAGAGUUAGGAAAGAAUCCCUGUACACACAGCAACUAUGUAACCCUUAGUCUUUUAUAAUUACUUGUACUUUAAAUAGAACGGGGAUGGCUUCUUAGUAUAUUCCAGGAAUUGUUCAUGAUAAAGCCUAAGAAAGUAGUAUACGAUGUUCAUCCUCAAGAAUCCUAAUAUUGAUUCCAUCAAUAAAUUAUGAUACAGCUACUAAAGCCAGAAUUGUGGGGGGGGGGGGGAAUCUAGGCAUGGGGAAAUGCCCAAAAUACAAUACUGAGGGGAAAUGGUAAGAGUAAAAUGUUACAGAAUGACUAAAAUUAUCUUAAUGAAUUAAUCAUUCUAGCAAAGCAACUUAACACUUUGAAACCCAAAGUGAAAUUUCACCCACACACACAACACACAAACCAUCUGGAAUAAGGGGGCAUGUUUCUUUUUGCUAAACAAUUCAGAUUUUCUGUAAGGAACAGGCAUGAACAGGAACAUUCGCAUCGACCUGCACUGUGGGGCCCACCCCCUUGCUGACUAGUUGUGUGUUGAAAAUUUCAUCUGUGCUAACUGAAUAACCCAUUCCUUCCUUAGACACAAUGUGCCUUAGAGCAGAAUCUCCCAACCAGGACGGCAACACUCAGAAGCGGUUUCCCAGGCCCUGUAUCUCACAGAGCACCUGCAGCAUAGGAUGUACCCUAUUGUAUUAUAAUUACUUGUUUAUACAUCUAUCUUCUCAAUCUUAGACCAGCUUCCUGAGGAGAGAGGGGAUCUAGGUCUUCUUAUUCUAGGGUCCAGUAUAAAUUCUGACAAGUAAGACACAAAAAAGAAAGUAAAUUUAAAGGAAUUAAUAAGUUUGCAUAAAACAAGGAUAAUAGAAAAAACCAAUUAUGUUAAAACUUUGCUGGGGAAUGACUCGCUUUACCUACUUCCUCAUUUUUCUCAUUUUUCUCAUUUCACAGUAAGUGCAUAUAGUUCUAUUUCACAUCAAGUAGACAAUGAUAAUGACGCAGACAUAAACUCAAACACAGACGUCUAUUUUUUAACACGUAUUUUCCGAUAAAGAGGCUCUAUGACCAAAUAAUAGUUAUUUUCCAGAAGCUACUUAUUUUGGGAUAGGAAUAAAAUUUUAUUUACUCUGAAUCAGAGAAAAGGUUGUAUUUUUAGGUUAAAAACAAUCACCUCCCUAUCCUUUGGGCAGAAAUCACCUCCCUAUCCUUGGGCAGACAGAAAUCGCCAAAUUAAGAGGCAAGCUCAAGUUUCAAUUCAUCCUAGCUACCAAUGAAAUGAUGCAGACACAGAGACACCGAGCGUGCACACAGGCACAGGGGUCCAGAAGGUUGGACCCGUAUCAUGUGGUUUCACUAUUCUGCUUGAAGCACUGUAAUGCCCUAGAAUGUCAGAGACUCAUCUCAUUAAACGUACACACAAGUAAGUUUUCUCAGUCUUUGUUGAUUUUGGAUUAUCAAAGGCACUACACUGGCAACCAAUGUCAAGAGCUGACUCAAUUUCAUGAGCCUAAACUGUGGACAAAUUUCACAGACUUUUAUGAAGCGAGAAGCAAACGUUAAGAUAAAACAAUCCAGCUUGGUCAUUCCCCAUUUUAUAGAACACUGAGUAACGCACCCACAGUUACACAAUUCUUGGUGACCCAAACUAUUUAUGAGGGUCCAACAAAAGUAGGACAGACGAGACAAAAAGCAUUACUCCAAUGAAUCAGGAGCAACUGGGAAAAUGGGUCAUAAAGGAUGCUGAAAUGGUUUUCUAGAUCCGUAAACAUACAGUCUUCUGUACGGCAGUUAGGGUGAAGGCACCCCACAUCAUAGGAAAUCAUGAUUAUUUACUUAUUAGCUCUCAGUGAGUGUAGGCUACCAUAGUCAGCUGUUUCCAGGACGGCAAGGACCUCCUGCCACAUACGGUAAGCUCUGCCCUACAAGAAGCUUUCCCUGGUGACCGGGAAGAAGGUGGAGAGCUUCAAGGGGGUCACAUCGAAUCGACACAGAAUUACCGAACUGUGGAAAUGGGAUAGUUCCUCCACCCCUUUGCCUUUUCCUGAAACAGAAGAAACUCAAUAUACAAAAUAUCAAAUACCCAGAGUGGUUCUGUCUGGGCACAGAGGAAGAGUUUGUACAGGAACUUGCUUGCAUUUUGCUGGUUCCUCAGAAACUCUUAGUCUGCGAAGGAGUUGAAAAAUCAGAGAUGUAGUUCAACCAAUUUAUUUUACAAAUACGAAAACGGGGGCCCAGAGGGACUUGCUGAUUGAUGAUCGCACAGCUCACCAGUGACAGAGCUUAGGCUAGAACCUAAGUUUCCAAGCUCCUGACCCUGGACACUCCUGCUGUCCUACAUGAACACACUGUUACUAACUUGAGGGUAAGAGCUACCAGGUCAUAUCCUCUUUUUUUUUCCCUUUACAACCGACAUUUGGUAGAUACAUAAUUUAUCUUCAUUAAAGACAAAUUAGAAAAUAAAGCUGAAGCAAAAAAUACUAAUAAUUUAACUUAUCUCCUAUUACCCCCUAGAGAAGACUGAUGCCGGUAUUUUGAUAGAUAUAUAUAGUUUGAUAUGUAUCUUUCCAGACUUUUUCAUAUGUAAAUAUAUACGAAUACACACUUUACAAAAUCUACUCAUUUUUAUUUAAUGUUAUGACUUUCUUUCCAUAUUAAUAUAUAUCCACACACUAUUUUUUAAAGACUGGAUGGUAUUUCACCCUGUGAAUAAAUCAAAUUUUAUUUAUUUGCUUCUGUCUUUUGUCAUUUAAGAAGGCACACUGUUGGAGUUCCUGUCGCGGCUCAGUGGUUAAUGAAUCUGACUAGCAUCCAUGAGGACACAGGUUCAAUCCCUGGCCUUGCUCAGUGGGUUAAGGAUUCAGCGUUGCCAUGAACUGUGGUGUAGGUCCCAGAUGUGGCUCAGAUCUGACAUUUCUGUGGCUGUAGCUGGCAGCAACAGCUCCAAUUUGACUCCUAGGCUGGGAAUCUCCAUAUGCCACAGGUGUAGCCUUAAAAAGGCAAAAAAAAAAAAGGCAGAAGGCACACUAUUCCUUAAGCUUCCCCCGCCCCAAACUACCACAUCUGCAGCAUAUGGAAAUUCCCAGGCCUGGGGAUGAAUCAGAGCUGCAGCUGCCGGCCUACACCACAGCCACAGCAACAUAGGAUCCCAAAUGCAUCUGUGAUCUGUGCCACAACUUGUGGCAACACCAUAUCCUUAAUCCACGGAGCGAGGGCAGGGCCCGAAUCCACAUGGAGACAACAUUGGCUCCUUAACCCACUAAGCCACAAUGGAAACUCAUCUUAACGCUUUUUAAUACUACUUAUCAUUGCUAUUAUUAUUACUACUGCUACUACAACCACCUGUAGACCAAGCUGUGUGAAAUACCAUGACUACAUUAGGAUAAAUGCCUAAGAAUGGAGUUGCUGGAUCCAAUCAUUAUGUUUUGUUUCUUUGUCUUAAAGUUUUAUACACAAAAUGUCCAACGGCCAUCUAUAAAAUGAGGAACCAAGUCACAAACCUACUGACAGCAUAUCAGACGGCUAUAUCCAUAUUCUAGCCAACACUGGGUAGUUAUUCUUUAAUCUUUGCCAAUAAGCUAGGAUGAAAAAUCAUUCUUAUUGUUUUAAGUUUUCUUUCAUUAGUAGUGAGGCUAAUAAACACCUUUGCCUGUAACACCAAUUCUUUUGGGGGGGGUUUGUCUUUUUAGGACCACAUCCACCGCAUAUGGAGGUUCCCAGGCUAGGGGUUGAAUCAGAGCUGCAGAGGCUGGCCUAUGCCACAGCCACAGCCACGUGGGAUCUGAGCCACCUCUUCGACCUACACCACAGCUCAGGGCAAUGCCGGAUCCUUAACCCACUGAACAAGGCCAGGGAGUGAACCCAUGUACUCAUGGAUCCUAACUGAGUUUGUUAACCGCUGAGCCACAGCAGGAACUCCAAACACCCAAUUCUUAAGGACCCAUAAUAUAAAUAAUAUAGAUAAAGAUAUACAGAUGGAUUCAAGUUUAAGAAUGAAUUACAAAACAACACUGGAGUUCAGAACACGGUUCUCAGACAAAAUGAGGGUAGACAAGAUGUCUUCAAACACAGUAGUAGAAACCAAAGCAAAAAUCCCAAGAACUAGAAAGGGAGCUUAAAAUACACAGGAACCCAGAGGUGACGACCUGGCGAAACAGACCCCAGACCUCAGAGAUGACACAAGCCCCCACAAAGAAGGAGGGUCAAACCGGUUUGGGUUCAGAUUGCUCUGAGCACUGAGACGCCCCUCACAUUCAGGCAGGGACACCGGAGCAGAUCCAGCCAAGGCAGAUGACAGGAAGGGGGCCAACUGCAUCCACGGUCCCCAGGAGGGUGGAGAUGGGCUUGGAAACGGAGCACCUCAGCUGCCAUCCGGUUCCUAAGGGGGUAAGGUCUGCACACACCCUUUCAAAUGCAUCACUGAUUCUAGGUCCAACAAAACUGUUUCUUAUUUAUUUCAAAAACCCAGCUAAGUAAAAAAUUCUCAGUGCAGGAGGUCCUUGUUUUGUAAUUUGUUCAUUAAAAGUUAUGAUUAAAUAUCAAGUAUUCGGUACACAUUUUACAGGCCCUGGUGGAGCUCACUAUUUAAAAGCAAUAAAUUAUUUUAAUCACUCCAUAAUUUAUGUCCCAUAAAUACAACUGCCUUUCAAUAUAACUUUUUUCUGGAAACUACAUUACAAAGUGAAUCACUUGAAUAGAUAAUAUUUUAAGUAGAAAAACAUGGUUUAAUUGGCUAAAACACAGAAAACAGACACAGAAAUGUGAAGAUGUAACAAUUAGAAACCUCUCAAAUCAUUUGCAAAUGCAAACUGUCACUUAAAUAAGCAUAAUUAUCCCAGCUGGAUAUGACACAAGGAGGAGUUUAAAAGUAUUAUAAAGUACAUACGGCACUCACAAAAACACAAAUCCAACAUGCCAUAAAUUUUACUAAAAAUGUAUAAGGUAGAAAUAAGAGCCAUUAACCAUUCAGAUCAGCCUGAACAGUCAAAAGGGAAUUAUAUAUUAAAAGAAAUAUACCCCCUUUAUACGCCUUUGCUUUGUUAUUGUGCAAGGAGUUUAUGAUUGAGAUGGAUGCCACAGGCUAUUUCUUUCUUUAAAUACUAGUUGGCUGGACUAUCUCCCAAACCAAUUUCCAGAUUUUUGUUAGUGACAUUGAUAUUAUUGUUAUUACUGUUGCUGAAUUAAUUCAAAUUUGAUUAAUUAUAAUCUUCACAGGAAGAAACAAAAGUUUUCGCAUAAAAUUGUCUUAUUUUUGGAAAAACUGCUUUCCCCACAUCCAUUUUAGCAAGGCUAAAAUGGCAGUGCCCCUCGCUCUCUGCACAUUCUAUCUUUAAACAUCUUUACGCUCAAGUAGAUAUUGUCAAUGCAGGCAAUAUUUAUUAAGUAGUUCUUAAGGACACCAGGAAGAUGAAGUUGCUUGAAGGGUACGAACUUGCUUUGGAUACUCAAAUAGACUAUUGAAAAAAACUGAAAAGUAGAUGGCAUUAUUCCUAUUUUAUGUAUUUCUAACACUGAACUCAAAGAAAUUAGGUAACUUACCCAAGUUCUUACAACUAGCAAAUGGUGGUUAAAAGAUCUGAACACUUUACAAAAGAAGAAAUCCAAGGAAUUCCAGCUGUGGUGAAGCGGAUUAAGAAUCCCACUGCUGGGAGUUCCCGUCGUGGCGCAGUGGUUAACGAAUCCGACUAGGAACCAUGAGGUUGCGGGUUCGGUCC